rnacentral:rRNA from 1 species
AUACGGAGGGUGCGAGCGUUAAUCGGAAUUACUGGGCGUAAAGCGUACGCAGGCGGUUGGUUAAGUUAGAUGUGAAAGCCCCGGGCUUAACCUGGGAACUGCAUUUAAAACUGGCGAACUAGAGUUGAGUAGAGGGGAGUGGAAUUUCAGGUGUAGCGGUGAAAUGCGUAGAGAUCUGAAGGAACACCAGUGGCGAAGGCGACUCCCUGGACUCGAACUGACGCUGAGGUACGAAAGCGUGGGUAGCAAACGGGAUUAGAUACCCUAGUAGUCC